GCAGUUGUAGUCUAGCGGUUAGGAUGAUUGCCUUCCAAGCUAUCGGCCCGGGUUCGAAUCCCGGCAGCUGCA
rnacentral:tRNA from 1 species